UAAUGUCAGAUAUGGACCACAACUGAUGGGGAAGAAGCUAACCGAUGGUGAAGUGUUCAAGUUGCUGAACCUUGCCGACCUCGAUUCCUCUCUCUUCAGCAGAGCCGGCUCAGAACUCUCUGUCGGUCAGGCCCAGAGAGUGGCACUUGCGAGGACACUAGCUAACGAACCAGAGGUGAGCCAGCGUUUCCCAUUUUGUCCAUUGAAAGGUUCAUACUUCACAGCCGACACCUAAAGUUGUGAUUUCUUCUCAAAAAGGUUCUUCUACUGGAUGAGCCAACGAGCGCGUUGGACCCAAUCUCGACACAAAACAUCGAGGACGUGCUAGUGAAGCUGAAGAAGACUCAAGGAUUGACGACCAUAAUGGUCUCCCACAGCAUCAAACAGAUUCAGAGGAUUGCCGACGUAGUUUGCCUCCUGGUGAGCGGUGAACUGGUGGAAGUUUUGACUCCUGAUCGUCUCUCGGAAGCCAAGCAUCCCAUGGCACAGAGAUUCCUGCAACUCAGCAACUGAAGGGCUUCUCGUUUCCACAUUAUCGCGUGCUGAACGAAU
rnacentral:lncRNA from 1 species